GAUGAACGCUGGCGGCGUGCCUAAUACAUGCAAGUCGAACGCUGAAGGAGGAGCUUGCUCUUUCCGGAUGAGUUGCGAACGGGUGAGUAACGCGUAGGUAACCUGCCUGGUAGCGGGGGAUAACUAUUGGAAACGAUAGCUAAUACCGCAUAGCAGUAGAUAUUGCAUGAUAUUUGCUUGAAAGGGGCAAUUGCGCCACUACCAGAUGGACCUGCGUUGUAUUAGCUAGUUGGUGAGGUAACGGCUCACAAAGGCGACGAUACAUAGCCGACCUGAGAGGGUGAUCGGCCACACUGGGACUGAGACCCGGCCCAGACUCCUACGGGAGGCAGCAGUAGGGAAUCUUCGGCCAUAGACGGAAGUCUGACCGAGCAACGCCGCGUGAGUGAAGAAGGUUGUCGGAUCGUAAAGCUCUGUUGUAAGAGAAGAACGAGUGUGAGAGUGGAAAGUUCACACUGUGACGGUAUCUUACCAGAAAGGGACGGCUAACUACGUG
rnacentral:rRNA from 1 species